AGUGAACGCUGGCGGUAGGCCUAACACAUGCAAGUCGAACGGCAGCACAGUAAGAGCUUGCUCUUACGGGUGGCGAGUGGCGGACGGGUGAGGAAUACAUCGGAAUCUACUUUUUCGUGGGGGAUAACGUAGGGAAACUUACGCUAAUACCGCAUACGACCUACGGGUGAAAGCAGGGGAUCUUCGGACCUUGCGCGAUUGAAUGAGCCGAUGUCGGAUUAGCUAGUUGGCGGGGUAAAGGCCCACCAAGGCGACGAUCCGUAGCUGGUCUGAGAGGAUGGACGGCUACAGUGGGAAAGAGACACGGUCCAGAGGCCGCCGGGAGGCGCCCGUCGGGCGUCGUCAACAAUGGGCUGAAGACUGAAGGCGCGAUGCGGCGUGAGGGAUGCAGGUCUUCGGAUCGUAAAACUCUCUGAUUGGAGCAGAAAAAAUGGGUAAGGCAAUAUGCACGCCUGAACGGUACCUAAUCAGAGGGCCACGGCACGUUUCAUC
rnacentral:rRNA from 1 species